UGGCAGUCGGGUCUACCAUGCAGUCGAACGAUGAUGCCCAGCUUGCUGGGCGGAUUAGUGGCGAACGGGUGAGUAAAACGUGAGUAACCUGCCCUUGACUCUGGGAUAAGCCUGGGAAACUGGGUCUAAUACUGGAUACUACCUCUUACCGCAUGGUGGGUGGUGGAAAGGGUUUUACUGGUUUUGGAUGGGCUCACGGCCUAUCAGCUUGUUGGUGGGGUAAUGGCUCACCAAGGCGACGACGGGUAGCCGGCCUGAGAGGGUGACCGGCCACACUGGGACUGAGACACGGCCCAGACUCCUACGGGAGGCAGCAGUGGGGAAUAUUGCACAAUGGGCGGAAGCCUGAUGCAGCGACGCCGCGUGAGGGAUGACGGCCUUCGGGUUGUAAACCUCUUUCAGUAGGGAAGAAGCGAGAGUGACGGUACCUGCAGAAGAAGCGCCGGCUAACUACGUGCCAGCAGCCGCGGUAAUACGUAGGGCGCAAGCGUUGUCCGGAAUUAUUGGGCGUAAAGAGCUCGUAGGCGGUUUGUCGCGUCUGCUGUGAAAGCCCGGGGCUCAACCCCGGGUCUGCAGUGGGUACGGGCAGACUAGAGUGCAGUAGGGGAGACUGGAAUUCCUGGUGUAGCGGUGAAAUGCGCAGAUAUCAGGAGGAACACCGAUGGCGAAGGCAGGUCUCUGGGCUGUUACUGACGCUGAGGAGCGAAAGCAUGGGGAGCGAACAGGAUUAGAUACCCUGGUAGUCCAUGCCGUAAACGUUGGGCACUAGGUGUGGGGGACAUUCCACGUUUUCCGCGCCGUAGCUAACGCAUUAAGUGCCCCGCCUGGGGAGUACGGCCGCAAGGCUAAAACUCAAAGGAAUUGACGGGGGCCCGCACAAGCGGCGGAGCAUGCGGAUUAAUUCGAUGCAACGCGAAGAACCUUACCAAGGCUUGACAUUCACCGGACCGCCUCAGAGAUGGGGUUUCCCUUCGGGGCUGGUGGACAGGUGGUGCAUGGUUGUCGUCAGCUCGUGUCGUGAGAUGUUGGGUUAAGUCCCGCAACGAGCGCAACCCUCGUUCUAUGUUGCCAGCACGUGAUGGUGGGGACUCAUAGGAGACUGCCGGGGUCAACUCGGAGGAAGGUGGGGAUGACGUCAAAUCAUCAUGCCCCUUAUGUCUUGGGCUUCACGCAUGCUACAAUGGCCGGUACAAAGGGUUGCGAUACUGUGAGGUGGAGCUAAUCCCAAAAAGCCGGUCUCAGUUCGGAUUGAGGUCUGCAACUCGACCUCAUGAAGUCGGAGUCGCUAGUAAUCGCAGAUCAGCAACGCUGCGGUGAAUACGUUCCCGGGCCUUGUACACACCGCCCGUCAAGUCACGAAAGUUGGUAACACCCGAAGCCGGUGGCCUAACCCCUUGUGGGAGGAGCCGUCGAAGUGAAUGGCUCG
rnacentral:rRNA from 1 species